CAAGAGAUGGCCCAAAUCUGCUACAUAGCUAAUGACGAUGAGGUAGAUUCUGAACUUGAAUAUGAUUUUUCAGUAGAAGAGUUACAUGAUGCAUUUUUAGAACUGAUGGAAGAACACAAGAAGCUAAUUCAUAAAAAUAAAAUUCUAAAAGAUGAAAAUCAAUCUCUUAUCAAAGAUAAGCUGAAACUAUCUAAUGACUAUGAAACAUUAAGUAGGAGGUUCACAAAUGAAACCAAAAAUCUAAUUGCUGAAAAUAUCAAGCUAAAAGAAGAUGCAGAAAAAUACAAAUCCUUAGU
rnacentral:lncRNA from 1 species